rnacentral:lncRNA from 1 species
UCAAUUCAGCUGGUGGUGCCACACCCCAGCAGUGCCCAAGGGUGAGCGGUGUAUCAGGGAGUGCCAGCGCUCUGCCAGCUACCCCAUCAGUCUCUGGAGGCCCAGGGGGCUUGGGGAGGGUAGGGAAGCACUGAGCCAGGGUGAGGACAGGGGUAACAGGGACAAGGACAAGCUCCUGUUGGGAGACAGGCUGAGGGGUCCAGAAAUCCUUAUCUCCUCCAGGCCUGUGUGUGCCCCUUUCAGCAACUCCUCCACCCCUACCGCCCCCCCCCCCAAUCCUCCCCGCCCAUCCUGCUGCUGCCCCAGGUCCCUCUGACUGGCAGGCUACCCAGCAGGAGAGAGUGGAAAAUGGAAGCAAUUACCUGGAUUAUUCAGGGUUUGUUGUGCAAAUGAAUGAAUGCAAGAAUGAAUAAUUCAGUGCCCAAAAAAGGGUAGAAAAGGUAAUUGAAGAAAAUCCCUUUUUGUCUAAAUUGUCUACAUAAUUAUCUCUGUUUGGAAAGUUCUGCUUUUUAUCAAACCUGAGUCCUUCCUGCUGCAGUCUCACCCGCAUCUUUUUGGCCCAUGAGGGUGGGCACCUGGUGACUCUCUUCUCUCGAACAACUUCCUGUUCGUUUCACACCAAAAGGCAGCGGGUGCUGUGCUUGCUGGAGAAAUUUCUCAGCUUCUCUCCAUUUCCUGGGCCCAUCUCUCAGGAUCCUCAGAGCGGGACAGUGAGGACCACCCGGAGCAACAGACGAUGCUCAGGAUGCUCCGGGUCCCUCAGAGGCAUCUCCAUCCGGGGAUCCAGCUCUGAACAGCAUCAGACCCUACAGGGCCAGGCCUCUGACCCUGGGAGGGAGACACAGGCAGCCAGGACCCCUCCCCAGGGACACGGCCCCAGAAAUGGUCAACCCUUAAACAGAAUCAGCCAGGGUUACACUGAGUGGCAACCUCUGCGCUUUACUGAGGCGGAGGAAGGGCGAGAGGGAAAAUGGUUCCAGCCCUCGGGGAGCUCCCGCUAUGACAAGGCAGAUGGUCUCAUCUUCAGAGAGGCCCCAGUCCGAUGGGGAGGUGCAGCACCAGCCCUCCGAGGUGGCCUUUGCCCUCUUGCAGGUUGAGGGGCCCCCCCGUGGGAGACACGAUGACCCCCUCGGCCCAGAGGUUGUAGGACCCCACCUUGCAGGCUUCCCUGCUCCUUCCCCCAGCCUCCAAGGCUGGUGGGGAGCCUGGCUCAGGGCCAGGAGCGAGUAUAUUUCUGGCAGCCUGCUGUGGAUGAUGCAGCAGACCUGUCACAGCGGGAGAAUGGGGUCGGUGGGAGCUGGCAGUGCGGUCGCUCAGAUGCGCACACACACAGCCGUGGGCGCUCAGAGAUCCACUCAAGGGUCUCAGCACGUCUUUGGAGUGUAGAUACAUGAUCUCUUUUGACUCUCCCAGCAGCUGAUGGGAAGGGCAGAAAGCGGGAUCCCAUUUUGCAGAGGGCAAAGCGGAGGCUCAGCGGGAGUCCUGGCCGCACCAGCUCUCCAGGUCUGGUUCUGCCCCCGAGCGCUGCCGUAUACCUCUGUCUCAUGCAUACGGGGAACAAGCACAGACCAGGACCGCUAGCCAAGGCCCUUGUGCUUGAGCGAGGCCCAGCCAUCCGGCCCCACGCAGCUCCCCGGUCUCAUCCUGUGCUCCUCACUCCCUUGCCCCCUAGGCUUCUCCCAGUCCUUGAAUGAGUUCCCAUUCUUUUCCACGUCAGAGCCCCUGUACACACUGUUCCCUCUGACCAGGACACGCUUCCACCUCAUCUCCUACUCAGGCCCCAGUAUAGCCACGCUUCCUCCUAGAAGACCCCCCACACCCCUGCCCCGAUUCUGAGAUGAGCAAAGACCCACCAGACUGCGCUGCCUGGCCUCCCUGCUGGCAUGGAAUUGAAUGGACCCAGAGGGUGUGCGCCCUCUUCCCUGCCGCAGUAUUCCUGGGGUGUGUCGGGAUAUCUGUGAGACAGUAGGCAUUUAAGGAUGUGUCGGAGGAGUGGGCAAGUGUACACUGGUGCACACACGGCAACACGGAGAGCCCUUCCCUGUCACUCAGCGAGUAUUCUGUUAGCACCUACUGUGCCCCGGGCACUGUUCUGGGCGCUUGGUCUGAAUCUGUGAAUAUAGCAAACAGCCCUGCAAUGGUGGAGCCUUUAUUUUUGUGGGGCUGGAGGUGGGAGGAAGGUAGACAGUAAAUAAUAAAUACACAUAGUAAGUAAAUUAUAUGAUAUGUGAGACGACAACAGGUGCUAAGAAAAUAAGAAAAAAGAUGAGUAUGGGAAUUGGGAAGGCCAGCUCGUGUGUGUGUAUGUGUGUGUGUGAGUGUGUGUGUGUGUGUGUGUUGGGAGGGGUUGUGCAGUAUUCAAAUGAACGAUCACUUGAUUCUGUGUCAUUCGCGAAGGAAGGGAGAGAGCAAACUUAGCGAAUAUCCAGGUAUCACAGAGGGACCAGUCCUAGGGCGAGGAUGAACUUGACCAUUCAAGACAGCAAGGAGGCCAGAAGGGCUGGAGCACAGGGCCAGCUGGGGAGGAUGAGGGGAGAUGAAGGGAAGGGAGGCCCUUGAAAGAAGAUUAACUGAUGAGCUAAGACAUGGGGAGCCACAGCAGGAUGUGGAGCAGGAGCAACCUGAUCUGAUGGCGGCUGCGGCUUGCAGAGCUCCAGACCUAUAGGGGUGGGGACCCCAUCUCCGGGGCCACAGAGGGGACCUUGCUCUGCUCUCUUUAGCCUCUUGCUCCCUCACAACCCUGGCUGUGGCUGUCUUUCCUGCCACCCCUCAGCCACCCCCCUGGAGGCAGGACCAGGGUGUGCAGGGGCCAGGCUGCUGCAGAAACCACCUAAGGAUUUGCAAAGCUGGCUUCCAGACCCGCCCACCCAAAUGAGCUGUGUGGCCACCCCUGUGGGCUCAGGCCUCCCCUCUGUAAAAUGGGGCUGCGGCUCAACCCAGUCUGCCCAUGACUCUGAGAAGUCCCACAGCGACUCUGUGGCUUUGACCUCUCUACCUGUCCCAGUUUUAUGUCUACAGGUGCUCAACUGAUGGAACCCCCCCUCCCACCACCAGCCCCCGACACCCCCAGUCCCCUGCCACCAUAUGAGCACUGCAGCCCACACCUCUUAGCUAACGAGGUGACCUGCCCCGGGGUGACCCACACUCUCCCCUGCCCUGUCCCUCCUGGGGGCAGAUGGGCAUGUGGGGCUGUCAUCCAAUAGGAAGGAACUCUUGGAUUGGAAAUAGGAAAAACUGCCAUUUUCUCAGCUGCCAACACAGCAGAGAAAUGAUCUCAAUUUUCUGUGGCUGUUCUCGGCAGGAGAAAAACUGCCAGCCGCCAGCCCCGUGCAUGAGAGGUCUGAGAUGCCGGGGAAAGGAGGCUGGAGCUGGGGGAGGUGGUGGGGUGAGCAGCAGGGCCGGGGGUGGGGCUGGCACGGUGCAGAGGCGGGGGCUCCCUGCUUGGCUGUUGCCCCAGCCACCCACCCACCCACCUGGGUCUGAGCAGCUCCUGAACUCUCUAGGUAUUUUCGUAACUUCUAUUAACUGAGUACCUACUACGGGACACGCUCUGUACUGGGCCCCAGGGCCGUUCCCUUGGCGUCUGCCUUUGACUCUGUUGGGUUUCAGCUUGGUCCUGAGGCUCUCAGCUCUCCUCCUCGGUCUCGCUUCUCCCCUGCUUUCAGCUCUAAGACCAAAUCGCCUGGCUCUGUCCAUCUGCUUGUGAUUUCUGGGCAAGUUACUUUACCGCAGUGCCUGUUUCCUCAUCUGCAAAUGAUUAUCAAAAUAUCCAACAUAGAGGGCUGUUGCGACCAUGAAAUGAAUCAUUGCUCCGAGUCAAGUAUUUAGAAUAGUACCGAUCCCAGAGUAAGUGUCUAAAAGGGAGAGUUCUCAAUGUGAUCGUUAUUAAUCGUGUACACACAUGCCAGGCACUGUGGUAGGACUGCGAAGGGAGAGCCCAAGGGCCCGUCCAGGGGGAGCUUGAAGGGGGUGUCUGGAGCUGAUGAGCCAGCUCUGCACAGCGUGCGAUCACAUUCUGCCUUAGACAGGUUGGAAGGGAUACAGUGUGGUGAGAGGAGAAAUGUCCUAAGUGCUGGAGACAUCAGGGCAGGCUUCCCGGAGGAGGUGCCGCUCUUCCGAAGGUCUUAACCAGGUUCAAGAAUUCAGCCUCUCGAGACUAGUCAGUCAGCAUCCGCUGUGAGUCCAAGACCCUGGGGAAAGCAGAAACACAGGGCAAAGAUGGUCCCUGGCCUACCAGCUCUGAGUCCGGCGUGGGAAGAGCUGCCCGUGAGGGGAUGGUGCCCAGAUGUCUCCUUCUGCUGGCUCUCCCUGGGGGGCAAGAGGUACUGAGCAUCUUCUCUGGGCGAGGCGCUGGUCCAGGUGUUGGGCAUACAGCUGUGGACAGAACAGAUGUGACCUGCUCUCGGAGGCUUCCAUUCAGGGAGCCUUGCUUUCUGCCUCUGUGAGACUGGAUGGCAGACGGGCAGUACAGAGUCCGUAGGGUUCGCAGGGCACAGUAGUUGGAGGUGUUUUAUUCUUUUAGCAGCUUUUAAGGCCCAGAGACCUGCAGGGACUUGCCUGUGGCUCACAGCCAGUUCUGACCCCCUUGGGUGGGGACAGGAGUGCCUUAAUUUUCCCAUCGGUGGUGCAGUGGGAGAGCUGAGGCAGAUGGGGCCUCCCUCACCGUUUUUAAUAGAGGCCCAGCCUCCCUCCUCAUCUGUCCUCCUGGCAGCUCCAGGAACUCCUCGGAAGAGACCAGCCACAUCAGACUCUUUUGGGUUUUCGAGUCACACAAAACCAAAUAUAGGUUGGAAUCCCAGGCCUGCUGCCAUGUAGCUAGGUGACUCAGAGCCUGGCCUGCCUCGUCUCCCUGAGCCUCAGCUUCCCCACCUGCAGAAUGGGUAUAAUAGCAUCACCUCCCUCCGCGGGGCUGCUGCACAGAUAAGACACCCAUGUGUGUGAAACUGCCCAGAACAGAGAAGCUGGGUCCCCGCUGGAGGGCUCAGGAAACAGAGUCAGAGGGUUUGUUUCCUUUCUUUCGUGCCUGGAGCUGGUGCUUGUUGCCCAGAAGCAUGUUUAAAACAGUGCCAGAGAGUUCCCGGAGAGUUGUCUUCCGGUGGUUGGGUUUUUCUGGUUUCGUUUUGUUUGGGGUCUUUAAUUUUUUUCUACCCUUGAUACCUCCUAGCAACAGGCUGCUUGUUUUAAAAACAGCAGUGGCCAGCUGCCCACCCCUCUCCCUCCCUCCCUGCUUCCCUCUGCUCCUUCCCGGGAAAGCAGCCUCAAGCAUCACCCCCGCUUCUCAGGGCUUCUCCAGCCCGAUUGGAGAGGGAAUUCCUGGGACAGCACGCCACGUGGGGUGGUACCUGGCCCUCGAGGCCGCAGCUUCUCCGUAUUUGCAUCUCCUCCACGGCAGCCCCCAAGGGGGGCAUAAAGGCGCCCUGGACACCGUCAGGGCAGGCAGCCUGGGCCAGUGCCAGGAAGCAGGUCGAGGGUUAUAGGGAGUUUUUAACCAAGCCCGGCCAGCUCUGAAAGGCUUGUUCCAGGGCAUCCUGCAGCCUGAAAGCUUCUGGAGGCCAUGGUCCCAGAGCUGACUGCUCCUGCUUUUGUCUCAGAUUCCUCAUCAGCAAACAAUAGGAAGAGAGGCACUCCUGUCCUGCAGGGGUGUUGGGGGCUGGGCAAGGAUAUGGACGGCUAGGUGACUGCUGUGCGGCCGAAAUUGGCGCAACAUUGUCAAUCAACUGUACUUUAAUUUAAAAAAUAAUUUAAGGAGUUCCCAUCGUGGUGCAGCGGAAACGAAUCCGAUAGGAACCAUGAGGCUGCGGGUUUGAUCCCUGGCCUCACUCCGGGGGUUAAGGACCCGGCAUUGCCGUGAGCUGUGGUGUAGGUUGCAGACGCGGCUCAGAUCCCGCGUUGCUGUGGCUCUGUUGCAGAAUGGCGGCUACAGCUCCGAUUAGACCCCUAGCCUGGGAACCUCCAUAUGCUGCAGGUGCAGCCCUAAAAAGACAAA